GUGGCGGGCCGUGACUGGCGUGUCGAGAUGGGCGUAACCAUCGGGGAGCGGCCUCGUCGCAUCGACGUGUGCCGCGCGCCUGGGCUUCUUGG
rnacentral:ncRNA from 2 species